UAAAAAGAAUCCUACUCUUCGAUAUAUAUAAUCCUAAGACUCAAAAUAGUUUUCUUCUAGACUCAACAAGGGCCAACAAUCAAGGGGACUCCUAUGGUCGGUCGAGGCUCUGAUACCAACUUGCCACGCCCAAUAUGCGACCCUAUCCAAAAGGAACUUAAAGGUCCCACCAAGGAUAGACCUGCAUAUUGAAACACUUUUGCAAGGUGGAUAUCAUUACAUCAACAUUACAUAAUAGAUGGGGAUACAUACAUAAGGCAUACAAUGCCACUCGAAUACAACAUCACAAUACAUAAGAUCAACAUCCGACUACGGAUGAAACACAAACAGAAGCUCAAACGACUUCCACCCUGCUAGCCCAGGCUGCCGACCUGGAACCUAUCCCCUGAUCGAAGAAGCAGAAGAAGAACUCAACGCAAGCAAGCAUCGCUCUCGCGUCAUGAUCAUCGCAUAACCUGUACCUGCAACUAUUGUUGUAGUAAUCUGUGAGCCACGAGGACUCAACAAUCCCAUUACCAUGGGUACCAAGGCUAACAAAGCUUAAAGGGAAAAGGAAGGGGUAAAGUGGUGAGGCUGCAGCAGCGACUAAGCAUAUAUGGUGGCUAACAUACGCAAAUAAGAGCGAGAAGAGAGCAAGCGGAACGGUCGUGAAGCUAGCAAUGAUCAAGAAGUGAUCCUGAACUCCUACUUACAUCAAACAUAACCCAGAAACCGUGUUCACUUCCCGGACUCUGCCGAAAAGAGACCAUCACGGCUACACACGCGGUUGAUGCGUUUUAAUUCGGAUCUGGUGUCAAGUUGUCUACAACCGAACAUUAACAAAUUCCCAUAUGCCAAUAACCGCAGGCACGGCUUUCGAAAGAUUAUACCCUGUAGGGGUGUCCCAACUUAGCCCAUGACAAGCUCUCGCGAUCAACGAAGGAAUAGACCUUCUCCCAGGAAGACCCGAUCAGACUCGGAAUCCCGGUUUACAAGACAUUUCGACAAUGGUAAAACAAGACCAGCAAGACCGCCCGAUGCGCCGACAAUCCCGAUAGGAGCUGCACAUAUCUCGUUCUCAGGGCAACACCGGAUAAGCGAAGCGUACAGGAACCGACGAAUCCAAGUUUCCAAGGAAAUGGCCCCGCACGGUGCUCUAGUUUGGACCAACACUUAGACAAGCAUUGGCCCGGGGGGCUGUAAUAAAGAUGACCCUUGGGUUAAUUACUCCCAAGGGAAAUAUAGGUGGUGGUGAGGCAAAUGGUAAAAGUCAAUGUUGGGCAUUGCUGGAGGAGUUUUAUUCAACGCGAACUGUCGAGGGGGUCCCAUAAAUCACCCGACCGCGUAAGGAACGCAAAAUCCAGGAACAUAACACCGGUAUGACGGAAACUAGGGCGGCAAGAGUGGAACAAAACACCAGGCAUAAGGCCGAGCCUUCCACCCUUUACCAAAUAUAUAGAUGCAUUAAUAAUAUAAGAGAUAUUAUGAUAUCCCAACAUAAUCCUGUCCACCAUGGAGCAAUCUUCAACUUCACCUGAAACUAGCAAUGCUAUAAGAGGGGCUGAGCAAAGCGGUAACAUAGCCAAACAACGGUUUGCAUAGGAAAGGUGUCAAAGGUUAGAGGUUCAUGGCAAUAUGGGAUGGCUCGAUAAACAGGUGAUAGGUAGCGUAGCAUAGCGAUAGAACGAAACAACUAGCAUAGCAAUGAUAGUAGUGAGAUCCAGGGUAACGGUCAUCUUGCCUGAAAUCCUGCUAGGAAGAAGAACGAGUCCAUGAAGUAGACGAACCAACGUAGUCGAACAAAUAUUCACGAACGC
rnacentral:lncRNA from 1 species